AUGGCGGCGGAACGGCGCUGUGGAAGUAUGCGAGACUUAAGAGCUCAAGUGACUAGUGGUCUCCUGCCAUUUCCAGAAGUGACUCUUCAAGCCCUUGGAGAAGACGAAAUAACAUUAGAAUCUGUGCUUCGUGGAAAGUUUGCUGCGGGGAAAAAUGGACUUGCUUGCUUGGCUUGUGGUCCACAACUUGAGGUAGUAAACUCUAUAACAGGAGAGCGAUUGUCUGCUUACAGAUUCAGUGGAGUCAAUGAACAGCCUCCUGUAGUUUUAGCUGUGAAAGAAUUCUCUUGGCAGAAGAGAACUGGAUUAUUAAUAGGAUUGGAAGAAACAGAAGGGAGUGUUCUCUGUCUUUAUGACCUUGGAAUAUCAAAAGUAGUUAAAGCAGUUGUUCUUCCUGGAAGGGUAACAGCUAUUGAACCUAUAAUUAAUCAUGGAGGAGCCAGUGCAAGCACUCAGCAUUUACAUCCAAGUCUGCGAUGGCUUUUUGGAGUGGCAGCUGUGGUCACUGAUGUUGGACAGAUCCUUCUUAUUGACCUAUGUUUGGAUGACUUGUCAUGCAAUCAAAAUGAAGUUGAAGCAUCAGAUCUUGAAGUUCUAACUGGUAUCCCAGCUGAAGUACCACACAUUAGAGAAAGUGUGAUGAGAGAAGGGCGCCAUCUGUGUUUCCAGUUAGUAAGUCCAACAGGAACAGCCGUUUCAACUCUUAGUUACAUAAGCAGGACAAAUCAGCUUGCUGCAGGUUUUUCUGAUGGCUAUCUAGCACUUUGGAACAUGAAAAGCAUGAAAAGAGAAUAUUACAUACAAUUGGAAAGUGGACAAGUUCCUGUAUAUGCUGUCACUUUUCAAGAACCUGAGAAUGAUCGUCGGAAUUGCUGCUACUUGUGGGCUGUUCAGUCUACACAAGAUAGUGAAGGGGAUGUUUUGAGUUUGCAUCUACUGCAGCUGGCCUUUGGUAAUAGAAAGUGUUUGGCAUCAGGACAAAUCUUAUAUGAGUGGUUAGAAUACUGUGAAGAAAGAUACACUCUGGACCUGACAGGUGGCAUGUUCCCUUUGAGGGGACAGACGAGUAAUACCAAAUUGUUGGGAUGCCAGAGUAUAGAGAAAUUUCGAUCUCAUGGUGACAGGGAGGAAGGCGUGAAUGAAGCUCUAUCGCCUGACACUAGUGUUUCAGUCUUUACCUGGCAGGUGAAUAUAUAUGGACAGGGAAAGCCUUCUGUAUAUUUGGGGCUUUUUGAUAUAAAUCGUUGGUAUCAUGCACAAAUGCCAGAUUCGUUAAGGUCAGGAGAAUAUCUACAUAAUUGCUCUUAUUUUGCACUGUGGUCAUUGGAGUCUGUUGUAAGUAGGACUUCUCCACAUGGCAUCUUGGAUAUAUUAGUACAUGAGAGAAGUUUAAAUAGAGGAGUCCCUCCUUCAUAUCCACCUCCCGAGCAGUUUUUUAACCCAAGCACUUAUAAUUUUGAUGCCACUUGUUUGUUAAACUCGGGAGUUGUUCAUUUAACUUGUACUGGCUUUCAGAAGGAGACUUUGACUUUUUUAAAGAAAUCAGGUCCAUCACUCAAUGAACUCAUUCCUGGUGGUUAUAAUCGACGUCUUGUAGCUGGCCUUCUUUCCCCAAGUUUUGUUGAUGUUCAGCCUUCCAGUUUAAGCCAAGAAGAACAGUUAGAAGCUAUAUUGUCAACAGCAAUUCAGACUAGUUCCCUGGGACUUUUGACUGGUUAUAUCCGAAGAUGGAUAACAGAAGAACAACCAAAUUCUGCCACUAAUUUGCGCUUUGUUCUUGAAUGGACGUGGAAUAAAGUGGUUCUCACA
rnacentral:lncRNA from 1 species